rnacentral:rRNA from 1 species
GAGCGGCCUUUCUCCUAUCAGCUUGUUGGCGAGGUAAUGGCUCACCAAGGCUAUGACGGGUACCGGGAUUGAGAGAUCGAUCCGGCACAUCGGAACUGAGACACUGUCCGGACCUCCACGGAGGGCUGCAGUAACGAAUAUUGGGCAAUGGGCGCAAGCCUGACCCAGCGACGCCGCGUGAAGGAUGAAGUCCUUCGGGAUGUAAACUUCUUUUAGGGUGCUGAAAGUCCGCAAGGAUUGAUCUAACCCAGAAAAAGUCACGGCUAACUCUGUGCCAGCAGCCGCGGUAAUACAGAGGUGGCAAGCGUUGUUCGGAAUCACUGGGCUUAAAGCGUGUGUAGGCAGAUCAGAAAGUGUUUUGUGAAAUCCCUCGUCUCAACCGAGGAAUUGCUGGGCAAACUACUGAUCUUGAGGUAGGCAGGGGUGCUUGGAACUCUUGGUGGAGCGGUGAAAUGCGUAGAUAUCAAGAGGAACGCCUGUGGUGAAAACGGAGCACUGGGCCUAUUCUGACGCUGAGACACGAAAGCGUGGGGAGUGAACGGGAUUAGAUACCCCGGUAAUCCACGCUGUAAA